GAUGAAGAACGUAGCGAAAUGCGAUAAGUAAUGUGAAUUGCAGAAUUCAGUGAAUCAUCGAAUCUUUGAACGCACAUUGCGCCCUUUGGUAUUCCAAAGGGCAUGCCUGUUCGAGCGUCAUUUGUACCCUCAAGCUUUGCUUGGUGUUGGGCGUCUUGUCUCUAGCUUUGCUGGAGACUCGCCUUAAAGUAAUUGGCAGCCGGCCUACUGGUUUCGGAGCGCAGCACAAGUCGCACUCUCUAUCAGCAAAGGUCUAGCAUCCAUUAAGCCUUUUUUUCAACUUUUGACCUUGGAUCAGGUAGGGAUACCCGCUGAACUUAAGCAUAUCAAUAAGCGGAGGA
rnacentral:misc_RNA from 1 species